AAAAAAAAAAAAAGAAAGAAAGAAAAGAAAAGAAGAAAGGAGAAAAGACUAGAAGAGGAAGGGAAUUUAUUUUUCGCAUUCAUUUUCUUCUCCUUCCCGUAAACAUGCAUAAAUCCCUCUUCCUCCAUCUUUUCUUUCUAUCCCAAAGCUUCAAAUUUCCAUCUCUAAUCAACUAUCCAUCUUCUCCCAACAUAUUUUCAAAGUAGAAUUUGAAGAAAAGAAGAGAAAUCAAAGAGAAAAUUCAAGAUUGAGGGAGGGUGAAUAGUAACCAAGGGUUUUGAAAUUUAAAGAAGAAGUGGAAGGGAAAAGUGGAAACUCUAAAGGAAAAGGGAAAGAAAAGGAAGAUUAGGAAGUUUUAAGUUUGUGGAAGAUUUUGAAAGGUUGUAGACCCAAGUAGCAAUAGAUCAAGUUCUGCAUCAACCCAGCCAAAAUUACAUCAUUAUUUAUCUUGGAUAUAUUUUGUAAAUUUUAUAUAAAGUUGAUUUUGAAAAUUUGGCAUGUACAUAAAGUUUUAGAGAUAAAGUUGUAUAUGGUUUGAAAGGGAUAUAUUUGAAGAUUUUAAUUUUGAUAUAAAUAUGGAUGAUUAGUAUAAGUUUUUGUAUUAAGACUAAUGAGAUAGUUUAUGAAGUGUUUGAUCUUGAUUGAAAUUGUAUUGAUGUUGAAAGAAGUUUGGGAGUUGAGGUUGAAGUUUAUAGAAGUGUUAUAUUACUAUUUACAGGUGAAAUUAAGUCAAUAUUGUAGGGGAAACUCUGCCGGAUUUUCGGUAAAAAAAAAGAAAAGAAGAAGUCAUGUACUACAUGAUAUAAAUUAAAAAAAAAAAAAAAGAACAGUUACAAAAUGUGAUGUCUGCUGCUCGGUUAAUUAAAUGACCGGGUAGGGGUGCUACAUUUGGGCUCAACUCGGCUUGCCUGGAUAAACUUUGGGCUUGUAUAAGGCGUAGAACUGUGCAUGGAGCCCUCCAGAAGCUUAGGCCUAAUCCUUCUAGCUUGGGCCUCACUAAGGCUCAGGCGUCUAAAGCCCGACCAUCAUCAAGCUUGAGCCCCAUGGAUAGGUUUGAGCUAAGUCCAGCUUGCCUGAACAGACCUUGGGCUUGCAUAAGGCAUAGAGCCGCGCAUGGGGCACUCCAAAAGCUUAGGUCCAAUCUUUCUAGCUUGAGCCUCACCAAGGCCUGGGCCUCACCAAGGCCCAGGCGUCUUGAGCCUGACCAUCAUCAGUGCUCAAUACCCUCUCCCACCAGAUUACUGUUCCUUGAAAAAAACCGUUCGUAAGAUGAUGGGUGAAUGGAAAACUUUGCACCUCGAUAUUAGAGUCUCCGGGAGGAAGUUGCUAAAGGCUGUGGUGGAGACUCCUCUAGUUCUGUUCUCUCAUGCACCCACCAAAUUGACCCACCGAGUCAAUCUUCCGCAAUGUCGAACGAAAAUACAGUGAUAUAUUGUUGGGGUUGUUGAGCGAAAGAAGAAAGCAAGUAGACUUGGAAGCAAUUCGGGUAGACUCACACAUCUCUGACGUGGCAAAGGUAUUUUUUCCUUUUUUAAACUAUAUAGGACAUGCUACGUAUAUG